rnacentral:rRNA from 1 species
GAUGAACGCUGGCGGCGUGCCUAAUACAUGCAAGUCGAGCGAACAGACGAGGAGCUUGCUCCUCUGACGUUAGCGGCGGACGGGUGAGUAACACGUGGAUAACCUACCUAUAAGACUGGGAUAACUUCGGGAAACCGGAGCUACUACCGGAUAAUAUAUUGAACCGCAUGGUUCCAUAGUGAAAGACGGUUUUGCUGUCACUUAUAGAUGGCUCCGCGCCGCAUUAGCUAGUUGGUAAGGUAAUGGCUUACCAAGGCAACGAUGCGUAGCCGACCUGAGCGGGUGGUCGGCCACACUGGAACUGAGACACGGUCCAGACUCCUACGGGGAGCAGCAGUAGGGAAUCUUCCGCAAAGGGCGAAAGCCUGACGGAGCAACGCCGCGUGAGUGAUGAAGGUCUUCGGAUCGUAAAACUCUGUUAUUAGGGAAGAACAAAUGUGUAAGUAACUGUGCACGUCUUGACGGUACCUAAUCAGAAAGCCACGGCUAACUACGUG